rnacentral:misc_RNA from 1 species
GAGAAAGCAAGGCAAUGAAAGGUAUGUAAAUUUAAUCCACUAAUAUUUGUUUAAGUCUAGAUUUGAUAUUUGAGCGGUAAUCAUUUUUUGAAUAUUAGUUUGGGUCGUUUAUUAUUUUUAUUUUCUUAAUUUCAUAGCGUAGUAAGGUAAUGUUGUGGGUUCGAUACCUGAAUGUUUAGGGACUUGAACUUAUUUCGUCGG